GAUGAACGCUGGCGGCGUGCUUAACACAUGCAAGUCGAACGAUGAAGCCCAGCUUGCUGGGUGGAUUAGUGGCGAACGGGUGAGUAACACGUGAGUAACCUGCCCUUAACUCUGGGAUAAGCCUGGGAAACUGUGUCUAAUACCGGAUAGGAGCGUCCACCGCAUGGUGGGUGUUGGAAAGAUUUAUCGGUUUUGGAUGGACUCGCGGCCUAUCAGCUUGUUGGUGCGGUAAUGGCUCACCAAGGCGCCGACGGGUAGCCGGCCUGAGAGGGUGACCGGCCACAAUGGGACUGGGACACGGCCCAGACUCCUACGGGAGGCAGCAGUGGGGAAUAUUGCACAAUGGGCGCAAGCCUGAUGCAGCGACGCCGCGUGAGGGAUGACGGCCUUCGGGUUGUAAACCUCUUUCAGUAGGGAAGAAGCGAAAGUGACGGUACCUGCAGAAGAAGCACCGGCUAACUACGUG
rnacentral:rRNA from 1 species